rnacentral:rRNA from 1 species
UACGAAGGGGGCUAGCGUUGCUCGGAAUCACUGGGCGUAGAGCGCACGUAGGCGGCUUUUUAAGUCAGAGGUGAAAUCCUGGAGCUCAACUCCAGAACUGCCUUUGAUACUGGAGAGCUUGAGUCCGGGAGAGGUGAGUGGAACUGCGAGUGUAGAGGUGAAAUUCGUAGAUAUUCGCAAGAACACCAGUGGCGAAGGCGGCUCACUGGCCCGGUACUGACGCUGAGGUGCGAAAGCGUGGGGAGCAAACAGG